GUGUCAGCCGCCGCGGUAAUACAGAGGGUGCGAGCGUUGUUCGGAAUUACUGGGCGUAAAGCGCGCGCAGGCGGCCCUUUAAGUCUGUCGGUCAAACGCCGGGGCUCAACCCCGUGCUCGCCGGAGAUACUGGAGGGCUGGAGACAGGUAGAGGCAGGCGGAAUUCCGGGUGUAGCGGUGGAAUGCGUAGAGAUCCGGAAGAACACCAGAGGCGAAGGCGGCCUGCUGGGCCUUGUCUGACGCUGAGGCGCGAAAGCGUGGGGAGCGAACAGGAUUAGAUACCCCCGUAGUCC
rnacentral:rRNA from 1 species